rnacentral:lncRNA from 1 species
CUGAACACAAAAUGGCGACACGUGGUUAGCAUUCGUCGCCAACGAGAAAUUGGGGUCGGCCCGAAAGCUCUAGAAUGCACCCCUCUUCCUCCCCGGGGCCUUCCACCUCCGCGAGUUUUAUGACUUAAAAAAGCCCACAGGCUGGUCUGAAGGUCGGAGGCCUAAUUUUAACGCGUUUUCCUCCCUUUAAUUUGAAACGGGAACGCGAAUGACUGUAAAAUAGGAAGACAAACAUAAAGAUGAAGUGCUUAAUUCAAGGUCACACAAUGUCGGGGAUGGACCUCCAGAUUUCCUUACUGGUGAGACGUGGUCUUGUAACACAGUGGUUAAGAAUGUGACUUUGGAGCCAGCCUGCUAGGGGCUGAAUUCUGACUCAGCCAUUUACUAACUGUGUGACCUUAGGUCACAGAAUUUUCCACACUCCUUGACAGAGGUGCUUAACCCUUAUCCAUCAGCAUUCUCAGACAGCACCUCCGGUUAGGGACAGUAUCUGACCGUCCGACAUCCCUGCAGCCCCCAUGUGUCACACAGACUCAGCCUCAGGUAGAUGGUUUCCGUAGAUGGUGGCUUUCUUUGGACCCUUGACAUCAACCAGUUACUAUUUGGUCUAGGGGUCUCACCAACGCUGCUCAUCUAGCAGGGCCACACAUAACAAAUAGAAGCAGAGCAAGCCCUGGAACUCCUGCCUGACAGUGACACGACGACAGAAACAUCUUACCAGUCAGAGGACCAUGAGAAAUAGAUUCAAGGAGCAUUCCACGUGCAAGUGAGUCUUGGCCCCAUCUGCCUUUGGAUUUUAGCCGUGAACUGGAAGGUAUUGGAAAGAAGACCCUCAGAAAUAGCUUAAUCAAAAUCCCUGCGUCUGAACCAAGUGCCUUAUUUCUCUGUGGGCCUCAAGCUUCGCUGACAUCUGUGGAGCACACUGUCCUAACAGGAGUGCUGUCUGAUUUCCCAACGCUCUGCAAAACAAACAGCCUGGAAGGGUGGCUGGUGGAAGGUGGUUUUUAGAGAGAGACUUGUAGAUAACAGGAAAGUGAAGGCUGUAAGGAAGGUUGUAAUUAAACAGCACAUGGAAACACAAUCACAUUAUUGUCCCAUUCCAUAGGGAUAAUGAUGACCACUUCAGUGGGAAAAGGAGAGGUUUUAAGUCAUUAGGGACUAUGGGCCACCUUUUAGGAAGAUUUAUUUUCAAAGGUUAAAAUAGUGUUUUGGCAAUUCAAGUUUCAUUUUCAGAAAAUGUAAUUGAUGGGAACCUCAGUGACUCUGGAUGAAUAAGAUGCUGUUGAGUGGCUCUGACUUGGGCCAGCCGUGCUUCUCACAGGACCUUGGAGACCAAGGUCACUGUGAUCUCAGGUUCAGGGGGCAAGUCCUCUCCACACAGCCCUAGUUGGCCUCACAGCUGAAAAUGUCUCCCUUACUGUUGGACUCCUUUGUUCACCCACAUGAGUUUGUGAAUAAAUCCUUUCCAGUCUGAAA